rnacentral:rRNA from 1 species
ACGCUGGCGGCAGGCUUAACACAUGCAAGUCGAACGGUAACAGGGAUUAGCUUGCUAAUUUGCUGACGAGUGGCGGACGGGUGAGUAAUGCUUGGGAAUCUGGCUUAUGGAGGGGGAUAACUACGGGAAACUGUAGCUAAUACCGCGUAAAAUCUUCGGAUUAAAGGGUGGGACUUUCGAGCCACCUGCCAUAAGAUGAGCCCAAGUGGGAUUAGGUAGUUGGUUAGGUAAAGGCUGACCAAGCCGACGAUCUCUAGCUGGUCUGAGAGGAUGACCAGCCACACUGGAACUGAGACACGGUCCAGACUCCUACGGGAGGCAGCAGUGGGGAAUAUUGCACAAUGGGGGGAACCCUGAUGCAGCCAUGCCGCGUGAAUGAAGAAGGCCUUCGGGUUGUAAAGUUCUUUCGGUGACGAGGAAGGUUGAUAGGUUAAUAGCCUAUCGAAUUGACGUUAAUCACAGAAGAAGCACCGGCUAACUCCGUGCCAGCAGCCGCGGUAAUACGGGGGGUGCGAGCGUUAAUCGGAAUAACUGGGCGUAAAGGGCACGCAGGCGGUGACUUAAGUGAGAUGUGAAAGCCCCGGGCUUAACCUGGGAAUUGCAUUUCAUACUGGGUCGCUAGAGUACUUUAGGGAGGGGUAGAAUUCCACGUGUAGCGGUGAAAUGCGUAGAGAUGUGGAGGAAUACCGAAGGCGAAGGCAGCCCCUUGGGAAUGUACUGACGCUCAUGUGCGAAAGCGUGGGGAGCAAACAGGAUUAGAUACCCUGGUAGUCCACGCUGUAAACGAUGUCGAUUUGGGGAUUGGGCUUUGAGCUUGGUGCCCGUAGCUAACGUGAUAAAUCGACCGCCUGGGGAGUACGGCCGCAAGGUUAAAACUCAAAUGAAUUGACGGGGGCCCGCACAAGCGGUGGAGCAUGUGGUUUAAUUCGAU